rnacentral:rRNA from 1 species
GACGUAGGGCGCGAGCGUUGUCCGGAUUUAUUGGGCGUAAAGAGCUCGUAGGCGGCCCGUCGCGUCGACCGUGAAAACUUGGGGCUUAACCCUAAGCUUGCGGUUGAUACGGGCGGGCUAGAGUUCGGUAGGGGAGACUGGAAUUCCUGGUGUAGCGGUGAAAUGCGCAGAUAUCAGGAGGAACACCGGUGGCGAAGGCGGGUCUCUGGGACGGUACUGACGCUGAGACGCGAAAGCGUGGGGAGCAAACAGG